GCUGGGCAUGGUGGUGCGUGCCUGUAGUCCCAGCUACUAAGGAGGCUGAGGCAGGAGAAUCGCUUGAAUCCGGGAGGCAGAGGUUGCAGUGAGUCGAGAUCGCACCACUGCACUCCAACCUGGGUGACAGAGUGAGACUCUGUCUCAA
ensembl:misc_RNA Metazoa_SRP Metazoan signal recognition particle RNA